rnacentral:rRNA from 1 species
CCCGAAAGAUCGAAUGAGGAGAUUCAUCGUCAGUAUGGUGAGUUUCCAUGCGUUUAGUGAUGACACACAUUCGCUGUGGUAUAUCUUGGCUAUGUCGGCGUGCACUUCUCCUCUAGUAGAACGUUGCGACCCGCUGGGUGUUGGCUUAAGGACCAAGAUGUAAACUGUUUUCGUUCGUUUACGCGUUCUGUUGACAGACUCUUGGAUUUCUAGCUGACUGCUCGGCGGUAUACAUAAGGUAUUGAGCCCCACAUUUUGAAUGCGUUCAGACUCGUUUACAAACUAAUCAUUGAUAACUUGAGGGNGCGGACCNAGUGCCCUCCUUGAGGAGGGUUGGUUGUUAUUUUAUAAUGUUUUCNAACUGGNUUAAUACCGGUCAGCAACGCUAUUGCUUUGGGUACUUUCAGGACCCCUCUUGAAACACGGACCAAGGAGUCUAACAUGUGCGCGAGUCAUUGGGAUUAUUAAACCUAAAGGCGCAUUGAAAGAGAAAAUCGACCUUUUUUUGGNUNNNGGNNGNUUNGCCAUUAUUAAAAUAUUGCUUCGCACUCCCGGGGUGUCUCGUAGUCAUUGCGACUUGAGGCGCACCCAGAGCGUACACGUUGGGACCCGAAAGAUGGUGAACUAUGCCUGGUCAGGAUG